rnacentral:rRNA from 1 species
CGCGUAGGCGGCUAGAAAAGUCGGAUGUGAAAUUCCGGGGCUCAACCCCGGAGCCGCAUUUGAAACUCUCUAGCUAGAGUACAGUUAGGGUAAACGGAAUUCCACGUGUAGCGGUGAAAUGCGUAGAUAUGUGGAAGAACACCGGUGGUGAAGACGGUUUACUGGGCUGUUUCUGACGCUGAGGCGCGAAAGCAUGGGUAGCAAACA